AUCAGUCUGUGUAAAUAAGAUACAUUGUUGUAAAUUGUUAUACAUUACAUUUUAGAUGCAUAAAUUAUUAUAGGUCACCUAACAUUUCUCCGAACAGUCCAGUCCGCGCUCCCCUCACACCCCCAAAAUGAAAAUGAUCCCUUUUCUCUGUCUGAAAUAAUGGGAGGUAUGCAAUACAGUUAAAUGCACUGGUAACUUAGUGUCUUCUCACCAUUUAAAUACCAGAUCUGCUAUCAAG